rnacentral:lncRNA from 1 species
UUCUAUCUUUUUGGGUUGCAUGCCCAAGGCAAUGCUUUUUGUAGAUAGAUUGAGAUGGAUUGAUCUUCGCUAUCGUGCCUCCUCCUUGUACCAGUUGAUGCUGGGGCAGUGCUUAAUAUGAGUUUUCUCCUGCCCCAGACAGCUUCGAGGUUCCCAUCGAUUACAGAGGUUUCUACCCGUCGCCUAAGUUUGUCAUAUCUUUGAUCGAGUGCUAUUUCUAUAAAUAAGAUUGAGUAGGAAAAUGUUGAAUUGGCUUCAAUCGAGAUUGCCUCGGCUUCUUAGGCACAUGAGGAAGCGGCCUAACAUCUUUUCAAUCGAAAUCCCAAUCAAAGACAAGUUCUACCAAGGCCAGGAUCUGAAAGAGAGGAUUCACUUUCCGAAAUUCCAAGUGACAUGAUUCCUCCUUCAGAAGCUAAAGUUGAAUGAUCGAAGUCUCCUUUAGGUUCAGUCGAAGAGAUCGAAGCGAAGUCAUCAAUUCAACCAUUCGAAUGGUCUCCCCUAAGAUUGACCUCUUUUCCAAAUAAACCGAACCUCGAUACCACAUU